UGUGCGUGUCUGCGUCGAGAGGCUGUGUGAGCUGAGUAUGUGCAGGUAGAUGUGACUGACGAUGCAUGACUGGCUGUAUGCCUGGGUGUCCGUAUGUGUUGGGCGUCGUGGCUGAGAGCCUGAGAGAUGUGUGUGGUUAUUGAAUCUGCUGGAGAGGCUGGGGACGAUUGGGAGUGUGGAUGCUGAGUGGUGUGUGCGGGAACAAGGAUAAGCCCACCAAGAUGCACCUGAAUUCCACCUGAGAUACUCACCUUCAUUUCAUUCCGGAGAAUCCUGUGUUUAAAGGUAGCUGACACAUUUGGAAUGAAUGUAACACAGAAGAGAGUUCAGAAUAGGAACAAAUCGCUCAUUCUACGAAAGCAUUCCUGAGACUGCAAAGGAAGCUCCAAGGCCACUGAGACAAGUCCCUUGCAUUCAGAGGCAACCACUUGUCCAAAAGGUAGACACGAAUGCCCGCUUUACACCCUCUCAGAUGUCACAGCCACAAAAUCCCAGUAAAAAAAAAAA